rnacentral:rRNA from 1 species
CCUACGGGAGACAGCAGUGAGGAAUAUUGGUCAAUGGACGAGAGUCUGAACCAGCCAAGUAGCGUGAAGGAUGACUGCCCUAUGGGUUGUAAACUUCUUUUAUAAAGGAAUAAAACGAGGCACGUGUGCCUUUUUGCAUGUACUUUAUGAAUAAGGAUCGGCCAACUCCGUGCCAGCAGGCGCGGUAAUACGGAGGAUCCGAGCGUUAUCCGGAUUUAUUGGGUUUAAAGGGAGCGUAGGUGGGUUGUUAAGUCAGUUGGGAAAGUUUGGGGCCCAACCGCAAAAUUGCAAUUGAUACUGGCGUUCUUGAGACAGUUGGAGUUAGGCGGAAUCGGGGGUG